UACGUAGGGGGCAAGCGUUGUCCGGAAUCAUUGGGCGUAAAGCGCGUGUAGGCGGCUCGGUAAGUCCGCUCUGAAAGUCCAGGGCUCAACCCUGGGAUGCGGGUGGAUACUGCCGGGCUCGAGUCCGGAAGAGGCGAGUGGAAUUCCCGGUGUAGCGGUGAAAUGCGCAGAUAUCAGGAGGAACACCAAUGGCGAAGGCAGCUCGCUGGGACGUGACUGACGCUGAGACGCGAAAGCGUGGGGAGCGAACAGG
rnacentral:rRNA from 1 species